GUGAGUCAUCGAAUCUUUGAACGCACAUUGCGCCCCUUGGUAUUCCGAGGGGCAUGCCCGUUCGAGCGUCAUUAUAACCCCUCAAGCCUAGCUUGGUGUUGGGGUCUGCUGUUACCGGCAGCCCUUAAAAUCAGUGGCGGUGCCAUCUGGCUCUAAGCGUAGUAAUACUUCUCGCUACAGGGUCCGGUGGAUGCCUGCCAUCAACCCCUAAUUUUCUAUGGUUGACCUCGGAUCGGGUAGGGAUACCCGCUGAACUUAAGCAUAUCAAUAAGCGGAGGA
rnacentral:misc_RNA from 1 species